UACGGGGGGAGCAAGCGUUGUUCGGAUUUACUGGGCGUAAAGGGCGCGUAGGCGGCCACCGCAAGUCAGUUGUGAAAUCUCUGGGCUUAACCCAGAAAGGUCAACUGAUACUGCGGGGCUAGAGUGCAGAAGGGGCAACUGGAAUUCUCGGUGUAGCGGUGAAAUGCGUAGAUAUCGAGGGGAACACCUGCGGCGAAGGCGGGUUGCUGGGCUGACACUGACGCUGAAGCGCGAAAGCUAGGGGAGCGAACGGG
rnacentral:rRNA from 1 species